CCCUUAGAUGCUCUGGGCCGCACGCGCGCUACACUGACCGAUGCAACGAGUUUCUUUCCUUGGCCGACAGGCCUGGGCAAUCUUUGAACAUCGGUCGUGAUGGGGAUAGAUUCUUGUAAUUUUUGAUCUUCAACGAGGAAUUCCUAGUAAACGCAAGUCAUCAGCUUGCAUUGAUUACGUCCCUGCCCUUUGUACACACCGCCCGUCGCACCUACCGAUUGAAUGGUCCGGUGAAAUCUCUGGACUGGCGCGAGUCCGAGCAAUCGGACAAGCACCGGGAAGUUGAUUAAACCUUACCAUUUAGAGGAAGGUGAAGUCGUAACA
rnacentral:rRNA from 1 species